rnacentral:lncRNA from 1 species
GGGACACAUCUUGGCAGCAGGACCUCCAAAGAAGUGGAGGGAUCCAACAGGGAGGAAACGGAAGGAAACUUAAAGAUGCCGAGCAGCUUUAAUUGGAUGGAGAGACGUCUGGUGGCCACUUCCGUUUGGGAUUAUAGCUUUCUCCUUGACUCAGAACCUGAAGACAAAGUAGAAUUCAGACUGAAAACUUAAAUAGAUUAGGUAACAACACUCCUUGUUUCUGACAGUGUCCUGUGAUUGAUUCUUUUUCAGAUAUGGAUGUUUCUGAUAUUUUCAAGUGUCCUUGGCUUGCUUGGGUUUCUGAAUACUUUAGUCAGAUUAAUAAAUUCAUCAACUGGUUAAUGGGCUAUGGAGUGCCAAUAGCUUCUCUUGAUAACGGUAACAGAACAAGAGAAAUCUUAUAGUGGGCAAAAGCUAGGAUAUAUAUGCUGGCAUAACAUAAUCCAUAUGUGUUGUCCUGCCAUUAAUCCCCAUACUAUGGGAAUACAAUUUAAAAGUAAAUGAGUAUUGGUAAACAUCAAGGAUUUUGCCAAUACGAAAUGGAUACAGACAACAAUUUCAGACCAAACCUAUCACUGGAACGGUCCACAUUGUAUGUCUCAGUGAGGCAUUUUCAGCAUUAUGUCUGCAACAUCUUUUCUAUCCUAUACCCCACAAGGUACUUAAUGACAACUCAUUAACCCAAGAAACACCAUGGACAAAGAGGGCAGGCCCAUUUAAAUAGCCCACGACCAAAAGAAGGCCAGUUUUCACUCCAGUCCACUCGUGGGCCUGGUUUCCCCAGAAGCCAAGCAUGAACCAUCGGCUCUCGGGGAGAAGGUUCCUCCUCCCAUUGCCAACGUGGCCACGCCUCCUCCCUUGGCAGUGUGGUCAUGCCAGGAUGGAGCAAGCCUGCACCCCUCCACACACACACUCCCUGCCAGGCUGCGAAAGAGGAUCCCAGGUGGGUUAGGGAACCCAAUUUUAAGGGUAAAUUGGACAGUUCAUUUUGUGCGCUGUGGCAUCGAUCAUUGCUUUUGCCUAGGAAGCCUAAGGUAUGCCAGAUAUGCAGAUGUGCCUGAAUGUAGUUGUGUGUCUGCAUCCCAGGAUUCCUUGCAGCGUCACAAAAGAGGACCAGGCAGACUUAUUUGUUCCAUACCAGCAAACUCUAUAGCAUUGCAGGGAACCCCUGAGAUGCAUAACUUGGGUUGCGCCUUACAUCUCCUUUGAGGGCAGUAAAAUAUCUUUGUCUGGCUCUAAUGGAAUUUUCAGUGAGAAUGAAAUGCAUUUUAAUGUGUGCAAUUUUCAGAGAGAGAUGGUUGGUUGGCAGCACCCUAUUUCAGAUAUUUCAGGAAGUGUAAAAGAACUAUGCUGGCUACAUAAUAUGCAACGGAACAGUGUAAUUAUUUAACAAUGCCUCUUUGUGUAGUCUCUCUCCUCCCUGUGAUGAGUUCCUUUAAAAUUCCAAUUAGUGUCACAAGUCAAGGCUUUCCAACAACGUAGGCAUCUGUUCUGGAAACCCAUUUGAGUGGCACCAGAGGUGAGAAUAUUGAUUAUGGGCAAGAUAUGUGGAGCCCAAAAUAUAUUUCAGCAAUGGGGCUACUACGUGGUAUUUAAAUCUGAGAUCUGUCAGCCCUUUCUCUCUCUUUCCCAUUCCCCCUUUCUCUAGUUUUCCCUCCAUGUCACCCACAUGAAAUUAGGUCAAGAUGUGACGAGAUGAAGCCUUGCUAUGUAAAAUAGUUCAUUGAGACCUUUCAUAAGUCAAUGUAUUGAAUACAAGACAGCAGCUAAACGAAACAAAAGAAAACAGCACUUAGCCACUUUUUUAAACAAGGCAUUCUCCAGCAUUUAAUAUGUGCUUAAACUGUUAAUAGUGGCUUUAGACAAGCAAUGCUUCAUUACUUAAUACAGGAAAGCGUUAAAAAAAAUGAGUAUCUUUGUUCAAAACUGGGAAGGAGCCGUAAUUGUUCAGGUUCACUCUGCAAGUUAAGAAGGGAGCCAACAAGGCCUCAAAAUGUUUCCUGACAGAAAAAGUAACACAGUCAAGGAUUCGGUUUAUUUUUAAAGUUUAUUUGUUGGCUCUUGUUGAAUGCUUAAUUAUAGUAGCUAUGUCAAAUGUCCCCCCACACACUCUUGAGAUAUAUUUAGACUAGACUCCCCCUGUCUCAGAAAAAAAGAGCAAUUAAAAUGUUCCACUUUAACGGAACAGAACUGAUGAUAGGGAUAGGAAGCAAUGGAGCCCGACACUUAGCCAGACCUGC